UAUCAUGUUAAGCAAGUUUAAAUUCAUUUUAUCAGAUUGCAGCAUAUCUGAUCAUCUGAGGCAUGAAGACUUUGCAUCUUUGUGUACAGCAACAAAACACUACAGCACUGAGGAUGGCCGAGAUUUUAGAGGAACAUCCCAAGAUUAGGAUUUAACAAGUCAUCCAGAACAUCAACUUGCAAAGAAGCAGACGAAGGGUUGUGGUGGCGUGGUUAGUUGUGAGGUUGGUGGAGAUUUACUAACUGCUGCAAAAUUUAUCUGUUCCCUGAAAAUUCUGUACAUAGCCCCUUCCUUUGGUGGCUGUGAAAGCAUUGUAGAUCAACCAGCUGUAAUGUCUUAUUGGGAUCUGUCCCAGUUGGAUAGAGCCAAGUAUGGGAUCAUGGACAACUUAGUUCGUUUCAGUUUCGGGGUUGAAGACUUGAAGUCUGACAUCUUUCUGGCA